GGCCGACUAGCUCAGUUGGUUAGAGCGUGGUGCUAAUAAUAAUUGAUAAUUAUGUUACGCCAAGGUCGUCGGUUCGACCCCGGCGUUGGCCA